GCUAGUAAUGGCAGGUCAGCAUACUGCCGUGAAUACGUUCCCGGGGCCUUGUACACACCGCCCGUCACACCAUGAGAGUUGGAAAUACCCGAAGCCUGUGAGCUAACAGUAAUGAGGCAGCAGUCGAAGGUAGAGCCAAUGAUUGGGGUGAAGUCGUAACAAGGUACC
rnacentral:rRNA from 1 species